rnacentral:lncRNA from 1 species
AUCAGCCUCCUCAGAAUCACUACAAUCACCACCCUCCACAAAAUAAUUAUCGUCCUGGGGAGCUACCCAGGAGACAGAACUUCACUCCCAUAGGAGAAUCUUACGCCAUCCUGUUCCCAAAGAUGGUCCACAUGGGUCUCCUGUAGCAUGUGCCCCCAAACAAACAAAAUCCUGAAUCACCUUCUUAUCAGAGGGGCGUAGCAUUGUACUUACCACUCUGUG